GUGCUAGUUUUGACAGCACAUAUGCUAAAAUUGGAAUAUAUAUGGAAGAUUCGCAUGGCCCAUCCACAAAGAUGACAUGCAAAUUUGUGGAGCAUUCCAUAUUUUU